UACGGGGGGAGCAAGCGUUGUUCGGAUUUACUGGGCGUAAAGGGCGCGUAGGCGGCCAGCGCAAGUCAGUUGUGAAAUCUCCGGGCUUAACCCGGAAAGGUCAAUCGAUACUGCGGGGCUAGAGUGCAGAAGGGGCAACUGGAAUUCUCGGUGUAGCGGUGAAAUGCGUAGAUAUCGAGAGGAACACCUGCGGCGAAGGCGGGUUGCUGGGCUGACACUGACGCUGAAGCGCGAAAGCCAGGGGAGCGAACGGG
rnacentral:rRNA from 1 species